rnacentral:rRNA from 1 species
UACGUAGGUGGCAAGCGUUGUCCGGAUUUACUGGGCGUAAAGAGCGCGCAGGCGGCUGGUCAAGUCCGAUGUGAAAUCUCCCGGCUUAACUGGGAAACUGCAUCGGAAACUGAUCGGCUUGAAGGUGGGAGAGGGUAGUGGAAUUCCCGGUGUAGUGGUGAAAUGCGUAGAUAUCGGGAGGAACACCGGUGGCGAAGGCGGCAUCCUGGACCAUGACUGACGCUGAGGAGCGAAAGCCAGGGGAGCAAACGGG